rnacentral:tRNA from 1 species
GAUAAGAAGGGGAAUUAAACCCCUGUAAAAAGGACUACAGCCUAACGCCUAAACACUCAGCCAUCUUACC